AUGCAAUCUGCUAUAGAAAACAUUCGUGAAAGUAUGGCAUAUUGGACCGCCUCACCAAAAAGGAUAGAGAAGUUUGAGGAAAUGGCCAAGUAUAAGAAAGUGAAAAUAAAAAGGAAGUUGAGACUUGAUUGCAAGACUAGGUGGAACUCUACUUUUGUAAUGCUUGAUAUUGCUUUGCCUUACAGACCUGACUUUGAACGUGCAAAAGAAAAAGAAAAGCAAUAUGAGUGGUUGCCUAGUUCAGAAGAAUGGGCUUUGGUUGUAGAUGUUGUAGAGAGGCUUAGGUUGUUCUAUGAAAUAACCGAGCUAUUUUCUAGAACUGAUUAUGUGACCGCCAAUGUGUACUUUCCUAAGAUAUGUGAAAUUAAAAUGAAAAUGAGGCAGUGGGAAGCAUCUACCAACAACACUAUCAAAGAAAUGACAAAAAGCAUGACUGAAAAAUUUGAUAAGUAUUGGAGCGACAUCCAAGGUCUAAUGGCUAUAGCUAUAAUUGGCGAUCCUCGAUACAAGAAGCAAAUGUUGGUAGCUUGCUUUGCCAUGCUCCAUGGCAUUGAGCCAUCUUCUUAUGAAUGCAUUGAAAAAGUUGAUGACAUAGUUGCUAGUCUGCGCUUAUUAUUGGAAGAAUAUGAAGUGGAAAAUGAGGCAUAUACACCGGAUGAAGAAUCUAUGAUUUCUACAAUGAAAGCUCCUGCAAUCAUGAGUGUCUUCCAAAACAUUGUAGCUCAACAAAUGCCUACAACAGCUAGACUUCAAGGUGAAAUAGAUCAAUACUUGAAUGAUGGAUUAGUGCCUUACGUUGAGAAGUUCAACGUGUUGGAUUGGUGGAAAGUGGCUGGAACUAGGUAUCCAACCUUAAGGAAAGUUGCAAGGGACAUAUUUGCUAUUCCUGUUACAACGGUUGCUUCAGAAUCAGCCUUUUCUACAAGUGGCAGAAAGCUUAAUGACCAUAGAAGCCGAUUGACACCACAUAUGGUUGAGGUUUUAAUGUGCUCACAAGAUUGGCUUAGAAACAAGUUCAAAGAUGCAAACACAGGAGAAGCUAGCUUUUGGACUUGCCUUCAA
rnacentral:rRNA from 1 species